rnacentral:rRNA from 1 species
GUGGGGAAUCUUGCGCAAUGGGCGAAAGCCUGACGCAGCCAUGCCGCGUGAAUGAUGAAGGUCUUAGGAUUGUAAAAUUCUUUCACCGGGGACGAUAAUGACAGUACCCGGAGAAGAAGCCCCGGCUAACUUCGUGCCAGCAGCCGCGGUAAUACGAAGGGGGCUAGCGUUGCUCGGAAUUACUGGGCGUAAAGGGCGCGUAGGCGGACAGCUUAGUCAGAGGUGAAAGCCCAGGGCUCAACCUUGGAAUUGCCUUUGAUACUGGCUGUCUUGAGUUUGGGAGAGGUGAGUGGAACUCCGAGUGUAGAGGUGAAAUUCGUAGAUAUUCGGAAGAACACCAGUGGCGAAGGCGACUCACUGGCCCAAUACUGACGCUGAGGCGCGAAAGCGUGGGGAGCAAACAGGAUUAGAAACCCCAGUAGUCC